rnacentral:rRNA from 1 species
AUUGUUGCAGUUAAAAAGCUCGUAGUUGAUAGUCGGGGGAUGGAACCUCUUUAUUGAAGUUUCCGGAACCUAGGCCUGUACUUGUGCAGGCCAGUUACUUUGAGAAAAUUAGAGCGCUUAAAGCAGUCAUUGAAUACGUUAGCAUGGAAUAACAGAAGGACGACGUUUCUUUUGUGGGAACAUCGUAAUUGAUUAACAGGGACAGUCGGGGGCAUCAGUAUUCAGGAGCUAGAGGUGAAAUUCUUGGAUUUCCUGAAGACUAACUAGUGCGAAAGCAUUUGCCAAGGAUGUCUUCAUUAAUCAAGAACGAAAGUUAGGGGAUCGAAGACGAUCAGAUACCGUCGUAGUCUUAACAGUAAACUAUGCCGAUAGAGUGGAGGAUGGACGAUCAAAUCUAUUCUCCGCUCAAGCGAAAGCAGUUGGUUCUGGGGGGAGUAUGGUCGCAAGGCUGAAACUUAAAGGAAUUGACGGAAGGGCACCACCAGGAGUGGAGCCUGCGGCUUAAUUUGACUCAACACGGGGAAACUCACCAGGUCCAGACACAAUGAGGAUUGACAGAUUGAGAGCUCUUUCAUGAUUUUGUGGGUGGUGGUGCAUGGCCGUUCUUAGUUGGUGGAGUGAUUUGUCUG